AAAAGAAGGAAUCAUGAGUCACCCACGGAGGAUGCCAGGGAACUGUGAAAUAAUAAGAAAUAUGUCUUUGGUGUCUACACUGGCUUCCUGGCACAGAGCUCCUCAAACACUUGGAAUUUCUUGAGUGAUCGGGAAUGAACGAGAGUUUAGAAGACCAAAUAUUUCAAAUCAACCAGUGAAGCCCUUUGGUGCGGUUUUGACCCCAAAGCAGCCAGACCGUCUCCUGGUCUCCCAGGGCCAUACGCCACGGGGUCACUUUUCAAAUUAAGGUGAAGUCCAAGUGGAGGUGGAAAGGCAAGGUGUGAGGUCCUUCGACGGCAUCCCUGGUAGGUAACCAUUCACUCUCUAUAAACACCUCCAAUGGCAGGAAAUCUCAGCCACAUUUUAUGAAGCUUCACUGUCGUCUCACCAGGAACCAGUCUGCCCCAUUUCCCAGGACAGCACUUCGAGUCUUAGAGACGGUGUUCUCCUCCCCACCCCGAGUCAGUGAUUCCUACCUGGAGUCUAGGGAAUGUGAGGCGACAGCCAUCCUGUUGGACAAUAUCAGCUUCUUGGAGCAGCCAAGGCUAGCAGCUGGGGGCUCUUCCUGAGAUGCCGUGAUGCUCUGUUGAGGACAAGACCUAGCAACUGUACACAUCACUUGUACUCACAUCUCAUUGGCUGGAGCGUUGCCACGUGGCUGCACCUGCUGUCAGGGAGCUGGGAGAGGUAGUGUGUGUCUGGGGACCCAGGUGCCGGGGUAAAACUUUCCCUACUCUGGAAGGAGGGAAGAAGGCAGCGUGGGGGGCUCUUGGCAUCUCUGCCAUGAUAACUCUAAAUAGAAGCUAUGGGGCUUCCCUGGUGGCGCAGUGGUUGAGAAUCUGCCUGCCAAUGUAGGGGACACGGGUUCGAGCCCUGGUCUGGGAAGAUCCCACAUGCCGCAGAGC